UACGUAGGGGGCAAGCGUUGUCCGGAAUCAUUGGGCGUAAAGAGCGUGUAGGUGGCUCGGUAAGUCCGCUGUGAAAGUCCAGGGCUCAACCCUGGAAAGCCGGUGGAAACUGUCGAGCUCGAGUCCGGAAGAGGUGAGUGGAACUCCGAGUGUAGAGGUGAAAUUCGUAGAUAUUCGGAAGAACACCAGUGGCGAAGGCGGCUCACUGGCCCGGUACUGACGCUGAAAUACGAAAGCGUGGGGAGCAAACAGG
rnacentral:rRNA from 1 species